GAUUUUCCAAGGGCAUAGAGGUUGUCUUAAGGAGCUGAAGAGAAAGGCCAAACCUCUCUUUGGGCAAGGUUAAUACUUUGCUCCAUAUCACAGAACUCUUAAAGCACAGCUAUAUUUUCUCCAGAGGAAGCCUAGCACUAGGCAUCCCUCACGGGGCUGUAAGUCCACUUUUCACUCAAAGGCUCCAUUAAAUGCUGUUGAAUCUCAGCUGCGUCUCCACAUUAGGCUGAUGGAGAGGUAAUUAACACUGCUGAUGUUUCAAUCUGUAUUCCCUGAGAUUCUGACUUAAUUUGUCCAGGAUUAAUAUAUUGUCAAAGCUCUCCAGGUGGCUCUAAUUUGUGGCCAAGAUUGGAAAUCACUGCAUGAUACAGCCAGGAAAAGUCUGCCAAGUCAAGAUGCUCUUGGGAGCACGCUGCCCUCGCUUGUGGAGUCUGAGUACAACUCAAAGUUGGCUCUGGCUGUGGUGCAAAUACAAAAUUCUAGGAGCAGAAGCAUCAAAGGAGGAACAAGAUGUUCCUCUGCUACUGCUGAGUUGUUCUUUCUGUACAUAGCCCUACAGUGAACAUCUACCCUCUGAGGUAAACUUUUUUGUUUUUUAGGCAGGAUUUCACUCUGUAGUACAGGCUGACCAUGAACUCACGGUGAUCUUCCUGUUUCAGCCUCCUGAGAGCUGGGAUUGCAAGCCUGCACCACCAUGCCUGGCCAGAGGUA
rnacentral:lncRNA from 1 species